rnacentral:rRNA from 1 species
ACCCGCUGAACUUAAGCAUAUCACUAAGUGGAGGAAAAGAAAACAACCGUGAUUUCCCUAGUAACUGCGAGUGAAGCGGGAUUAGCCCAACGUUGAAAUCUCCCCUCGGGGCGAAUUGUAACGUAUGGACCAGCCAUUGAGCGCGUUGGAGUGUCAAAGUCCUCCGGACUGAGGCGCCAUAGAGGGUGACAGCCCCGUACAUGGCACUCUGGCGCGCAUACAUGGCUGGCUCGUAGAGUCAGAUAGUUUGGGAUUGCUAUCCGAAGCAGGUGGUAGACUUCACCUAAGGCUAAAUAUCAGCACGAAUCCGAUAGCGAACAAGUACCGUGAGGGAAAGUUGAAAAGAACUCUGAAAAGAGAGUUAAAAGUAAGUGAAACCGCUAACGGGGAAGCGGAAGGCCGUGUCGUGACGCCUUGGCCAUAGCCUGUCGAGCGGCAACGCUCUGCAGGUCCGACUGGGGUGUGCGUCUGACCUAGUGAGUGUCGGGGCGGAGCAGUGGCUCCUUGAGUGCAAAAGAGCGCCUUCACUGCGACUGCGCAAUUUGUGCUCAAGCCCGCUGUCAACUUCGAUGCUUGCUACGUGUGCGCUGUGGCGCCUCCCUUAAUUGGCCGGUCUUUCCCUAGUGAGUGGCUCAUGCUGCGCACAUGGAGGGCCGGUCAGUGUAGAGGCGCCAGCGUCAGACGAGAUACCGAACCUUCCGACCCGUCUUGAAACACGGACCAAGGAGGCUGAAGCCACAGCGAGUCAGAGGGUGGCAAACCCUAUGGCGUAGUGAAAGCGAUAUGUAAGAGCUCGGGUCGCGGCCCGGGCGCAUUACAGACCUCUUGCCUUUUUGGCAAUUGAGUUAGAGCUGUGGCUGCAGGACCCGAAAGAUGGUGAACUAUGCCUGAGUAGAGUGAAGCCAGAGGAAACUCUGGUGGAGGCUCUCAUCGGUUGUAACGUGCAAAUUCAUCCUGUAACUUGGGUAUAGGGGCGAUAGACUAAUCGAACCAUCAGUAGCUGGUU